rnacentral:rRNA from 1 species
UACGUAGGGUGCGAGCGUUGUCCGGAAUUAUUGGGCGUAAAGAGCUCGUAGGCGGUCUGUCGCGUCGAAUGUGAAAUCCCUCGGCUCAACCGAGGAACUGCAUCCGAUACUGGCGGGCUUGAAUCCGGGAGAGGGAUGUGGAAUUCCAGGUGUAGCGGUGAAAUGCGUAGAUAUCUGGAGGAACACCGGUGGCGAAGGCGGCAUCCUGGACCGGUAUUGACGCUGAGGCGCGAAAGCUAGGGGAGCAAACGGG